ACCCUAUUGACGUGACAGAAGGGCGCGAGGCGACGGCGACCAACGACCGCAUCCCGUUCGACGCCCACGCCUUUGCCCCCUUCUCGCCGAUCCCUCCCGCACCGGUUCGAGUUGGAGAAGGUGAAGCUCCCCCUUCUUGGGAUCCAUCUAAGUAGUCAUACAUUGAUUUCACUGCAUAUUUAUUGAGGUUGAGGAAAGCGAUGAUCUGCUGCAUAAAGUAGCUACAGUGGUUUGGCGCAUUUGAUGAAGCGCACGUAGCCAGUAGACUAGACUUUUGUCAUUUUGUGAUGGCUGAGCAUGAUUUGGUUGUAGCUCUUGUUGAAACCCAAAUUAGCUAGUUAACUGCAAUGUCUCAGCUUUGCUUGGUUGUAGCUCUUGCCGUAGUAUGGAAUGCAUUGCCUGAACUUACCAAGGAAACAAGGUUUGAAGGAGCAGAAUCAUUUAUCUAGGAAAUGAAAUGCUUCCCUAUUAAA